rnacentral:lncRNA from 1 species
CUGACUUAUGAGUUAUGUGUUUGAGUUACGGCCCAAAAUAUUCCAAAUUUAAUACUAUAUUUUAGGUGAAGAACUCUACAAAGGCAAUUUUUUUUUAAAUACCCCAAGUAUACCCUCUUGUCGUGCGCCGUGGAUUACAGGAAUUGUUCUUGAGCUGAGGGUAUGACACUUUUCAUUUCCAUGGGACAAAUUCCUUGGAAGGCAGUGGGUCCUAAAAAUGAAAUGAAAUCUUAGGAAACCAUAAUAUAAUUCUCGAUUGUGCUCUAAACAUUUUGAGGAAAUAAGGAAUUCCAACUCUCAAGCCAUUCCAUCAUUGUUUAAACAUGUAAAACCUAAAGUUCCAAGGUUCACUAAAAACUCCAACAACCCCAUUUUCAUUCGGGAGAACAAUACUGAUAUAAUAAUUAAGUAAAUCUCAAGCAACUUUUUUAUUUCGAAUUUCAGGUAAAAAAAAGAUCUCCCAAAAUUUCAGGAUCAUACAUACUUAACUCCAUAUUUGGAACUUCCUACUUCCAUAAAUAGAGAAAUAGACUUAGUGGACAUGAAUCUAAUUUCAUCAACAAUAGAAGAUGAAACUUCUUAUACAUAUAUAUUUUUUUUUUUUUGCAUUAGUUACUUUAUCUUUAGAAAAUAAUAAUUGUAUGUAUUACAAAUGUUUCUCCUGAGAUAAAACAUAUAAAGGAAAUAAAUACCAACAUAAAAAUCCAACAUGGAGUCUAUGCAGCAGAAAUAACGUAAUUAAAGAAGAAGUUGGGGGGAGAAAGAUGUCAAAAUAUGGGACGCAGAAUCAAAGUUUAAUUCUUUAAAAAUGCGCCUCUCUUCGGUAUUUAAUAAAAACUAUGUAAAAAUUUUAAGUUGCAAGUCUUCACAUUCCAAAACGAUGAUCUAAUAAAACCAUCGAUAAUUCACUUCAGUUAAGAUUAGUUGAGAAACUAUAUUUUUUCCAAUUAAUCUAUUGCGCCAAGAACUGUUUUGAUCAAUUAUUUAAUUGACAGUAAGAUUUAAAUCUUUAUAUUUGUUGGUUCCAUUUUGACCAACUAUAGUUCACUAUUUUCCUUAAUAAUAAUUGUAAUAAAGCUGGGUUAUUAACUCAGCAACAUGAAGUACAUCAUAAUUGUGAAUUCACGUGAAAACGCUCUACUCGUUUUAGAGGACUUUAUCCUAUAAUAAUUAACUUAGUUAUUAUUUCCUUAAAUACCGAAUUUAAUAUUAAUAAUUAACUAUCCGAUUCUGUCUGCCCUACUUAACUAUGAAGUGUUCAUUGAUGGCAAUUUAUUGACGAAUGAGAAUCGUGCAUUGUGUGAACAGCUUAUUUCUUUUCUUUUUUUAGAAAUAUGACGUCAUGCGGGCAUUUUGUGUUCGAGCUUGUAUUCCGUAUUUAUUAAUUAA